rnacentral:piRNA from 1 species
UCAUCCUCUUGGGUGAAAGGCCAAAG